AAACCAAUCGACAGCUUAAACAAAAAUAAACAAGUUUUGUUUGUCCCAUGUCUCUACAGGCAAACAUGUGGGAGAAAAAAAAUGCAACGUGUUUGAAAUCUCCUCCUCGCAGGUCCAAUUGCCAAGAAGACUCCAGAGACUAUUAGCGCCUCUGUCAGGAAUGCCUCCAACAUCAAGAAGUCCAUCACAGCCCCUAUACGGUCGAGAAGAAUCAAAACAUAUGCAACAACAAUGUGACUUACUUAUGGCCUGCUCCUAUGUGUCGCACCUCCAGCCCACACCUCAACUCUCUAGAAUUUACAGUUUCAGGCAUCUUGGAGAAGAUUGUCUGCUGCAUCCCCCAUCCAAAUUUGGAUUCACUCCAAGCUGCCAUCAUGCGACUUACACGCCCUUCAUCUUCAAGAGCUACCAAUCUGUUCACAGGCGUGUGUCGAGGCUGUUAGUGCUUGUGAAAGAGGACGUAUUAAAUAAAAAAUAUAGAGACCGUGGGCUCCGUUUUAAUGAACUCCGUUACCCUAUUCGACAUGCAAUAACAACAAAAGUUAAUACCUAAUAAGUGACCAACUGUUUUAUUGAUGACGGAAUAUAAUUUUAAAAUACGCAGCCCGAUCUGGUGGCUAAAAGAUAAGUGGCACAUCAUGUUUUCUAUUGUUUAAGGUGACAUCUCAAGUAAAGUUCUCAUACAUGGGGAUUUUUUUUUCUUCCAAGUUGUUUUAAUUUGAUCAAAAUCGGACACAAAAUGAGUCAACAGGAAUAAAUAAAGACAAAGGGGUUCGGAUCUUCUCUACGCAGAUGUUGAUCCCAAAAAAUUUCAGACAUUGUCGGCAUGACCGUGAGGACAGUCUGGAGCAUCAGGGUGGUCAAAGAGAAUAGGAAAGGAGUCAAAAAGAAGGCUGGAAGUGGAUGAAAUGGCUUGACGCGAGGAAAAACAUUUUUCAAGUACCUGGAGGCCAAGAUCAAGGAAGAUCCAGCAGCAUCAAUGCACCACUUGGCUGACGAGAUCACAAUUAGGACGGCAGUUCAUGAUUACCUCAGCCUUAAGAGCUCUUUCAGGACUCCAAGGCUUAUCGUAAUCCAAGAACAUGAAGGACUUAAAACUUGAGAGAUGCAAAAAAUACAUUAAUUACUUGAAGAGUCAUCCGUCGAU
rnacentral:lncRNA from 1 species